GUCGACGAUGAUCUCCAGCUUGCUGGGGGGAUUAGUGGCGAACGGGUGAGUAACACGUGAGUAACCUGCCCUUGACUCUGGGAUAAGCCUGGGAAACUGGGUCUAAUACUGGAUACGACCUUCCCACGCAUGUGGUGUUGGUGGAAAGCUUUUGUGGUUUUGGAUGGACUCGCGGCCUAUCAGCUUGUUGGUGGGGUAAUGGCCUACCAAGGCGACGACGGGUAGCCGGCCUGAGAGGGUGGACGGCCACACUGGGACUGAGACACGGCCCAGACUCCUACGGGAGGCAGCAGUGGGGAAUAUUGCACAAUGGGCGCAAGCCUGAUGCAGCGACGCCGCGUGAGGGAUGAAGGCCUUCGGGUUGUAAACCUCUUUCAGUAGGGAAGAAGCGAAAGUGACGGUACCUGCAGAAGAAGCGCCGGCUAACUACGUGCCAGCAGCCGCGGUAAUACGUAGGGCGCAAGCGUUAUCCGGAAUUAUUGGGCGUAAAGAGCUCGUAGGCGGUUUGUCGCGUCUGCCGUGAAAGUCCGGGGCUUAACUCCGGAUCUGCGGUGGGUACGGGCAGACUUGAGUGAUGUAGGGGAGACUGGAAUUCCUGGUGUAGCGGUGAAAUGCGCAGAUAUCAGAGGAAC
rnacentral:rRNA from 1 species